UGGGGAAUAUUGGACAAUGGGGGAAACCCUGAUCCAGCCAUGCCGCGUGUGUGAAGAAGGCCUUAUGGUUGUAAAGCACUUUAAGCGAGGAGGAGGCUACUGAGACUAAUACUCUUGGAUAGUGGACGUUACUCGCAGAAUAAGCACCGGCUAACUCUGUGCCAGCAGCCGCGGUAAUACAGAGGGUGCGAGCGUUAAUCGGAUUUACUGGGCGUAAAGCGUGCGUAGGCGGCUUUUUAAGUCGGANGUGAAAUCCCCGAGNUAACUUGGGAAUUGCAUUCGAUACUGGGAAGCUAGAGUAUGGGAGAGGAUGGUAGAAUUCCAGGUGUAGCGGUGAAAUGCGUAGAGAUCUGGAGGAAUACCGAUGGCGAAGGCAGCCAUCUGGCCUAAUACUGACGCUGAGGUACGAAAGCAUGGGGAGCAAACAGGAUUAGAUACCCUGGUAGUCCAUGCCGUAAACGAUGUCUACUAGCCGUUGGGGCCUUUGAGNUUAGUGGCGCAGCUAACGCGAUAAGUAGACCGCCUGGGGAGU
rnacentral:rRNA from 1 species